CCAGUUGAAGAUGAUGAUCUCCUGACGUACAUCCUCACCGGCCUCGACGUGGAGUUCAAUCCGGUCGUCACCUCCCUCCUAGCAAGGAAGGAACCGGUAACUGUAAGUGAAGCAUAUUCUCAGCUUCUUGCUUUUGAAA